CGGAGGGUGCAAGCGUUAUCCGGAUUUACUGGGUUUAAAGGGUGCGUAGGCGGACUUUUAAGUCAGUGGUGAAAGCUCCGAGCUUAACUCGGAAACUGCCAUUGAUACUAUUAGUCUUGAAUUCGGUUGAGGUUGGCGGAAUGUGUCGUGUAGCGGUGAAAUGCUUAGAUAUGACACAGAACACCGAUUGCGAAGGCAGCUAGCUAAACCGACAUUGACGCUGAGGCACGAAAGCGUGGGGAUCAAACAGGAUUAGAAACCCUGGUAGUCCACGCCCUAAACUAUGAUUACUCGAUGUUGGCGAUACACUGCCAGCGUCUAAGCGAAAGCAUUAAGUAAUCCACCUGGGGAGUACGAUCGCAAGAUUG
rnacentral:rRNA from 1 species